AUGGAAAAAUGGGUGAUUAUUACACUUUUCUUCACAGCACAGGAAUUUGGUGUGAUGACUGCAGACCAGAUUGGGCCAAAUAAAGAAACCAGUGUCAUGAAGGAAGAUGAGACUGUGACCCUCAGCUGCACAUAUGAUACAAGCAGCAGAUAUGUUGCACUUUACUGGUACAGACAGUAUCCUAAUAAAGAACCUCAGUAUUUAAUGUGGAAAGAUGCUCGUCCAUUGAUAAAAACUGGGACCCCAGCUGAACCUCGCUUUCAGUCGACUACAUCAGAAACAUCCACUGAACUCAUUAUUACUGGUGUAACUCUGUCAGAUUCAGCUCUCUAUUAUUGUGCUCUAAGAGUAGCAGUCCAGUGA